UACGGAGGGUGCGAGCGUUGCUCGGAAUCAUUGGGCGUAAAGCGCACGUAGGCGGCGGCGUAAGCGGGAUGUGAAAGCCCAGGGCUCAACCCUGGAAGUGCAUCCCGAACUGUGUCGCUUGAAUCUCGGGGGGGGACAGAGAAUUCCCGGUGUAGAGGUGAAAUUCGUAGAUAUCGGGAGGAAUACCAGUGGCGAAGGCGCUGUCCUGGACGAAGAUUGACGCUGAGGUGCGAAAGCGUGGGGAGCAGACAGG
rnacentral:rRNA from 1 species